GACGAAGGAUGCAAGCGUUAUCCGGAUUCAUUGGGUUUAAAGGGUGCGUAGGCGGCCUAGUAAGUCAGUGGUGAAAUCUCCUCGCUUAACGAGGAAACUGCCAUUGAUACUGCUGGGCUUGAGUACAGAUGCUGUGGGCGGAAUAUGACAUGUAGUGGUGAAAUACAUAGAGAUGUCAUAGAACACCGAUUGCGAAGGCAGCUCACAAAACUGUAACUGACGCUGAGGCACGAAAGUGCGGGGAU
rnacentral:rRNA from 1 species